rnacentral:rRNA from 1 species
GUGGGGAAUCUUGCGCAAUGGGCGAAAGCCUGACGCAGCCAUGCCGCGUGAAUGAUGAAGGUCUUAGGAUUGUAAAAUUCUUUCACCGGGGACGAUAAUGACGGUACCCGGAGAAGAAGCUCCGGCUAACUUCGUGCCAGCAGCCGCGGUAAUACGAAGGGGGCUAGCGUUGCUCGGAUUUACUGGGCGUAAAGGGCGCGUAGGCGGACAUUUAAGUCAGGGGUGAAAUCCCGGGGCUCAACCUCGGAACUGCCUUUGAUACUGGGUGUCUUGAGUAUGAGAGAGGUGUGUGGAACUCCGAGUGUAGAGGUGAAAUUCGUAGAUAUUCGGAAGAACACCAGUGGCGAAGGCGACACACUGGCUCAUUACUGACGCUGAGGCGCGAAAGCGUGGGGAGCAAACAGGAUUAGAUACCCUUGUAGUCC